rnacentral:rRNA from 1 species
GUGGGGAAUAUUGGACAAUGGGCGAAAGCCUGAUCCAGCCAUGCCGCGUGAGUGAUGAAGGCCUUCGGGUCGUAAAGCUCUGUCGUAUGGGACUAACAAAAUGAAGGUACCAUGCAAGAAAGGAUCGGCUAACUUCGUGCCAGCAGCCGCGGUAAGACGAGGGAUCCUAGCGUUGUUCGGAAUUAUUGGGCGUAAAGCGGGUGUAGGCGGGCCUGUCAGUCAGGUGUGAAAUCCCAGGGCUUAACCCUGGAAGUGCACUUGAUACUGCAGGUCUUGAGUGUGGUAGAGGCUAUUAGAAUUCUUGGUGUAGUGGUGAAAUACGUAGAUAUCAAGAGGAAUACCGGAGGCGAAGGCGGAUAGCUGGGCCAACACUGACGCUGAGACCCGAAAGCGUGGGGAUCAAACAGGAUUAGAUACCCGUGUAGUCC